CAAAAUCAGCGGAGCUGGAAUCGGCGGAGAUGGAAUACUCGCGUUCGCUGUUACAACGUGAAUACAUAACGUUUAAGUUUCGUGAUAGAGCUCGCAGCAGGGUCGCGAUCUCUGUACUAUGAACUUUCUUCGUUCCAUGCAAUUCUUCCUGUACGAACAUUCAGCGUUGAAUCGAGAUGAAAGAUAAUUUGAUAACGCUAUAAUAAGAAACUUUUGUUGUCGAGUAGAAUUUCUUCUAACGGUGGACAGAUAAAUAAGAUAAAGGUUUCACAAUCGCCUAUGGAGGAGCGCCGUGUACAUUGAUCUGAUGUUAAGCAAGGGUUGGAAAGUGCUGAAGUAUCCAAUCAAACGUGUUUUUCCAGCAGAUGAAAAAUUUUUAAUCUGUUAUGUAAUGUUCGUCGAAAAAUAUCACUGGGGCAGAGAGAUUAAAUGAAUAAAAAAAAUUUUAAUA